rnacentral:tRNA from 1 species
GGUAAGGUCAGCUAAAUUAAGCUAGUGGGCUCAUACCCCGAAAAUAGAUUUAUUUCUCUUUAUCA